GGUGAUGAAUUCAUGUUUUCAUGUCUAUGAACUGAACUAACGGUAGAAUUAAAUUGUAGUAAUUAGAGCUAUUAUAUAUAUAUGACCAGAACAUUGAGAAUUUUGGUAUUUUUUUUUUUUUGGAACAAAUUUUUUGGUAUUUUCUAGAUCAACAAAAGAGUGACUAAAUUUGCAGAAACAUAGAGAAAACUAGAGUCCAGACCAUUUAUAUACUCAGUUUAUUUCUAUUUGUUUUUGUUUUCUCAUACAAACGCCUAUAAGAUCAUCUCCAAU
rnacentral:lncRNA from 1 species